rnacentral:rRNA from 1 species
CCAACAGGGAUUGCCCUAGUAACGGCGAGUGAAGCGGCAACAGCUCAAAUUUGAAAUCUGGCUCUUUUAGGGUCCGAGUUGUAAUUUGCAGAGGGCGCUUUGGCGUUGGCAGCGGUCCAAGUUCCUUGGAACAGGACGUCACAGAGGGUGAGAAUCCCGUACGUGGUCGCUGGCCUUCGCCGUGUAAAGCCUCUUCGACGAGUCGAGUUGUUUGGGAAUGCAGCUCUAAAUGGGAGGUAAAUUUCUUCUAAAGCUAAAUACUGGCCAGAGACCGAUAGCGCACAAGUAGAGUGAUCGAAAGAUGAAAAGCACUUUGGAAAGAGAGUCAAAUAGCACGUGAAAUUGUUAAAAGGGAAGCGCUUGCAGCCAGACUUGCCCGUAGUUGCUCAUCCAGGCUUUUGCCUGGUGCAUUCUUCUAUGGGCAGGCCAGCAUCAGUUUGGGCGGUUGGAUAAAGGUCUCUGUCAUGUACCUCCUUUCGGGGAGGCCUUAUAGGGGAGACGACAUGCAACCAGCCUGGACUGAGGUCCGCGCAUUCGCUAGGAUGCUGGCGUAAUGGCUGUAAGCGGCCCGUCUUGAAACACGGACCAAGGAGUCUAACAUCUAUGCGAGUGUUUGGGUGUCAAGCCCGAACGCGCAAUGAAAGUGAACGGAGGUGGGAACCCUUAAGGGUGCACCAUCGACCGAUCCUGAUGUCUUCGGAAGGAUUUGAGUAAGAGCAUAGCUGUUGGGACCCGAAAGAUGGUGAACUAUGCUUGAAUAGGGUGAAGCCAGAGGAAACUCUGGUGGAGGCUCGCAGCGGUUCUGACGUGCAAAUCGAUCGUCAAAUUUGGGCAUAGGGGCGAAAGACUAAUCGAACUAUCUAGUAGUGGUCCUGCG